UGUUGUGGUUUCGGGCCUGGGGA
rnacentral:siRNA from 1 species